ensembl:ncRNA mir-210 mir-210 stem loop
AAAGGUGCUUAUUGCAGCUGCUGGCCACUGCACAAGAUUAGACUUAAGACUCUUGUGCGUGUGACAGCGGCUAUUGUAAGAGGCCAUAGAAGCAACAGCC